rnacentral:lncRNA from 1 species
GGUGCCGCAGCAGGAUCAUGGACCGGUGCAAGCCAUGCACGGCCCAGCUGUGAAAGCCAGGAAAAAUAGCGCAAGAUAAAUGGAAAGGAGGUUUCACUACCAUACCGUGUGGUUUCACUACCACCACGCUACUGCUUCAUUUGUGGCUAUUGUCAUUAUUUCCUCACAUAAUUAUAGUUCCGAUCCAUAUCCUGAUUUUUUUCUUUCUUAUUGUUUUUGUUCUUUUCAACAAGUGAGAAAAUACUCUUUCAUUUUUUUCUAUGCCUUACUAAUUUAUUUUUUAUUUUUAUUUCUAAUACUCUUGUGUAUAUUUCUUCUCUAGGUUGAGUUUAUUUUUAUUUAUUUAUUCUUAUUUCUUGCUCAUUUCCUAUGGACUAAGUAAGUGAGUGCUGUAAAGCCACCAGUACUGGAUGCUUCUUCUUUUUAUAUUUCUUCUAGUCUUCCCCUUAUCCCCUGUCUAAUAUUUUUUUCAUUUCAUUCUCGUAUUUAUUAUUUGAUUCCAUUUUAUCAAUCAUUUCUCUACCUAUUCUCUUAUCUUAUUCAUUCUAAAUCUUAUGCAGAUAUUUCUUUUGUCAGAUUGUAAUUUAUUUUUAUUCAUACUCUAUAUAAUCCAUAUCUAUGUGUUAUAUAAUUGAUGUUAACAAAUUAAAGCUAUAUUUGACUGUAUAGUGAACUAUUUGUUCAUAUUAAACAAUUAUACAUGCUCAAUGUAUACUAAUUUGUUUAUAAUUUAAAUUUUUGUAUAUUUAUAUACUAAAUUGUUCGC